GGCGCUGGGGCAUGGCCUGGCGGGCAGGUGGCCUUCCUGCCGUUUCUGCGCGCUGCGGGCGGCGUCCAUUUCGCUUGCAAGCUUCGUUGCGUUCGCUCGCCUUUUUCUGGCUCCCGUUGUCUCGCGUUCCGUCGUUGCUCUGGUGCCCUGGACUGCUGUGAUUGUGUUUUUAUGCCCUGCUAGUGUUGCCUGGGGGUGCUUUUAUGUGUGCACCCUGGAAGAUAGGUCCAGAAGCCUUGCGAUUUCUUAGAUUAAAGCUAAGUGUACUCGUGACCCUACCAGCACUUUUCAAGAUACUUUCGAUGUAUUCAUUGCGGUGAACAACGCGGUUGGGACAGCACACUCACGACGUGGGAAGGUCACAGAAAUGUUGAAAGACAUCAGGUAAGUUACGCUAAAGUGCGUUUCAGAGCUCUUCAGUGACUUGUGUUUACUGCGAAACAGAUUGGGCAUACGCUUCACCCGUGCAACUUCGUCAUGUGCCCACGGCUUUACGGCUGUGCCACUGUAUGUAAAAAAUGCUGAGUGAUUUUAAUAAAGAAUUUGCAGGGAAGUACAAUGUGUCGCACCUUGUUGACUCUUUAACAGAUGUGUGGAAACGUCGUAGCGGAUGAAUGUGAAUUAUGGAUCUCCAAGUGGCGUCGCCCGCGUCAUUUUCAAGAUUUUACCCGUUUUGAAGGUACGUAGUGAAUGUGCGAGG